GGUGAUUAGUGACAGAGUGAGGGAGGGGGUGACUAGUGACAGAGGGAGGGGUAACACAGUGACAGAGUAAGGGGGUGACUAGUGACAGAGUGAGGGAGCGGGUGACACAGUGACAGAGUUAGGGAGGGAGUAACUAGUGACAGAGAGAGGGAUGGGGUGACUAGUGACAGUCACCCCCCCCCUCACUCUGUCACUAGUCACCCCUUCCCUCCCUCACUCUGCCACUAGUCACCCAUUCCCUCACUCUGUCACUAGUCUCCCCCUCUCCUUCCCUCUGUCACUAGUCACCCACUCCCUCACUCUGUCACCAGUCACCCCCACUCAGUGUGUCU